rnacentral:rRNA from 1 species
UACGAAGGGGGCUAGCGUUGCUCGGAAUCACUGGGCGUAAAGCGCACGUAGGCGGAUUGCUAAGUCAGGGGUGAAAUCCUGGAGCUCAACUCCAGAACUGCCUUUGAUACUGAGAAGCUUGAGUUCGGGAGAGGUGAGUGGAACUGCGAGUGUAGAGGUGAAAUUCGUAGAUAUUCGCAAGAACACCAGUGGCGAAGGCGGCUCACUGGCCCGAUACUGACGCUGAGGUGCGAAAGCG